rnacentral:rRNA from 1 species
AUACGGGGGAUGCAAGCGUUAUUCGGAAUCAUUGGGCGUAAAGGGCACGCAGGCGGUUCUGUCAGUCAGAUGUGAAAGCCCGGGGCUUAACCCCGGACGUGCAUUUGAAACAGCAGGACUUGAGUAUGGUAGAGGAAAGCGGAAUUCCUGGUGUAGAGGUGAAAUACGUAGAUAUCAGGAGGAACACCGGUGGCGAAGGCGGCUUUCUGGACCAAAACUGACGCUGAGGUGCGAAGGCGUGGGUAGCGAACAGGAUUAGAUACCCCGGUAGUCC